UAGGGAAUCUUCGGCAAUGGACGAAAGUCUGACCGAGCAACGCCGCGUGAGUGAAGAAGGUUUUCGGAUCGUAAAACUCUGUUGUUAGAGAAGAACAAGGAAGUUAGUAACUGAACGUCCCCUGACGGUAUCUAACCAGAAAGCCACGGCUAACGACGUGCCAGCAGCCGCGGUAAUACGUAGGUGGCAAGCGUUGUCCGGAUUUAUUGGGCGUAAAGCGAGCGCAGGCUGUUUCUUAAGUCUGAUGUGAAAGCCCCCGGCUCAACCGGGGAGGGUCAUUGUAAACUGGGAGACUUGAGUGCAGAAGAGGAGAGUUGAAUUCCAUGUGUAGCGGUGAAAUGCGUAGAUAUAUGGAGGAACACCAGUGGCGAAGGCGGCUCUCUGGUCUGUAACUGACGCUGAGGCUCGAAAGCGUGGGGAGCAAACAGG
rnacentral:rRNA from 1 species